rnacentral:lncRNA from 1 species
UUGCCCAGGCUGGUCUGGAACUCCUGAGCUGGACCGAUCCUCCUGCCUUGGCCUCCCAAAGUGCUGAGAUUGCAGGAGUAAUUGGGCAGUAUCUUUUAACUGUGGAGAAGUGUCAACACUACUUUGGCUGUGGGACCAGGAUCCUGCUGCCUGGAGGCAGAUUGAUAUUUUUAUUUCACCUUUAAAGGAUGUACAGUAAGGGUGAGAACAUCUCGAUGAAAUCUCUGCAGUAAAUAACUCUUGGAUCCCUUUCCCAUACAAGUGAAAGGACAAAAGGAUGAUAUGCUGAGAUGGCCUCUUCACCUGCACCAAUGCCAGGGCCAGGGUGGGUCUCAGCUACCCACCCCCAGGAAAGAAGCCUCCUCACCAGUCUCAGGAAGAAAAAUCCUAGAGAAGGCUCUGAUUAGACCAACAUGGUCACAUGGCCACCUGUGUAGCAGGAGAGAAAAGGAACACACUGUACGAGAGAGGAGAAGCAGUUCUCUAAGCAGAAGGGAGCUGUUUGUUACUAGAUGAAGGAGACAGAGCACUGGGCAGACAAGUGGAACAGAUGUCCCCUCCAGGUAUGAAAGCACUUCUUUCAUCCAUCCCUAUGCGUCUAGCACUGUGGUGGGCACUGAAAAAAUAAAGAUGAAUACACCACUGUCAUUGCCUGGAUAGUGCAUGGCUUUGUGCGUGGGCUAUAUGGAUGUAGACAUGGCACCCCAUAGCUUAGAGAGAGAGUUCUAAACUAUGGGAGAGUUUGAAAUUUGCUUUACAGAUAUAAGGUGACAUUACUGCUAUUCAUAUCAUUUCACAACAUGCAAUCGUUUAUGGGAACCUCUGAGAGUCAGGGGAGAUGAGAAAAAGGAAGUGGAGAUCAGAACAGAUCACAGAGCGAGAUCACUGAAUGGUCAGCAACAGGCUAUUUUGCAUACUUUCUCAUGUCAUCUUUGCAAGAACCUACAUCUUUGCAAGUAGGAAUUAACAGUCUGCAUUUUCAAGGUGAGGAAGGGGACACCUGGAGAGGUGAAGUGGCUCCCCAGAGGUCACGUGGCUAGAAAGGGCAACUCUGGGAUUUGAACCCAGGUCUGCCCCACCUGGGUCUCGUGCUUUUUGCCCAGUCCCAUGGAGUGGCAGGGAAUGACAGGCCCGCCCCUGACUUGGAAGCACGUCUUUUGUGUCUCUUUAGAAGAAACCAGAGCUUACUCAGGCAGAGGUUAGGGUCUGACAGCUGGGAGAAUCAAGUGUGGAAUGAAUAAGUGGCCAACAGAGAAAAUAGUUCAGGAGGCAGGAUUGAAAGGAAGAGACCCUUGUAGGGGUGUGUGUGGGGAUCCUACACCCCAGUCCCUGUCUCCCUCCCCUACCUCUCCCUUUCUCCUCUUCAACUCAACUCCAAGUGGCAGAUUUAUUAGUUUUAAUUAACAGCCCAAAUGCUUGGAAAACGUCCAAAUUCCAGCUCUUGGCAUCACUGGGUUUCCACGGGAAGGGGUGUGAGGGGGAUGAUGCCAGGAAUAGUAAUGAGCCGGGGUGAGACAGCAGGAGAAACCACCCUCCCUGCCUGGACCUGGCCUGGGCACCUGCCAUCCAUCCUCUGGCCCAACCUGACCUAACCUUGUGGGAGCUAGAGCUGGGCUGGCUUUGUGGGUGGGGGAGGCCCAAUCCCAUGUAAGGUCAUGGGAUUUGGGAGCAUUUGGCUGUGGUUAGAGAUCUGCUGCUGUGUGACCUUGGCCAAGGUGCUUGACUUCUCUGGGGUUAUGGUGAAAUUCAUCUGCAAAGUGAAGGGGAUGAUUUCAAGCCCUGUGAGAGUCCUGGCAGCUCUAAAUUGUGAUUCAGCUUUUUUCCCAAAUCUUCUAACUGCCCUACUUUUCUGACUCUUCCUCUUCCAGGGAAAGACCUUGAAUUUCUCCCUUGGACUCUGCUCCUCUCCUAGAGCCUCCUUCCAGUUUGGAAAAAGUUCUCCACUCCCAGUUUGGGUGUAAGGCCUUCACUUACACCCAAGUGUAACUGUGUAAGGCAAUCCUGUUUGAGGUCUGUCAAUCUGAGCUUGACCUUGGCUCUAUGAGCCCUUACUGGGUGGGGGUCUCAGGCAAGUCUGUGCCAUGCAUUUCCUCAUUGCACAUGGGGAUGACAAUGACUGU